GGCGGAGUGGCAGAGAUGGCUUAUUGCAGCAGUCUUGAAAACUGUCGGCGGGUCAAACCGCCCGUGGGUUCGAAUCCUACCUCCGCCGCCA
rnacentral:tRNA from 1 species